rnacentral:rRNA from 1 species
UACAGAGGGGGCAAGCGUUGUUCGGAAUUACUGGGCGUAAAGGGCGCGUAGGCGGCCUUCUAAGUCGAACGUGAAAUCCCCGGGCUCAACCCGGGAACUGCGUCCGAUACUGGAAGGCUUGAAUCCGGGAGAGGGAUGUGGAAUUCCAGGUGUAGCGGUGAAAUGCGUAGAUAUCUGGAGGAACACCGGUGGCGAAGGCGACAUCCUGGACCGGUAUUGACGCUGAGGCACGAAAGCGUGGGGAGCAAACAGG